rnacentral:rRNA from 1 species
GGUGCUGCAUGGCUGUCGUCAGCUCGUGUCGUGAGAUGUUGGGUUAAGUCCCGCAACGAGCGCAACCCUUAUCUUUAGUUGCCAGCAUGUUUGGGUGGGCACUCUAAAGAGACUGCCGGUGACAAGCCGGAGGAAGGUGGGGAUGACGUCAAGUCCUCAUGGCCCUUAUGUCCUGGGCUACACACGUGCUACAAUGGCGGUGACAGUGGGAAGCUAGAUGGUGACAUCAUGCCGAUCUCUAAAAACCGUCUCAGUUCGGAUUGCACUCUGCAACUCGAGUGCAUGAAGGUGGAAUCGCUAGUAAUCGCGGAUCAGCAUGCCGCGGCGAAUACGUUCCCGGGUCUUGUACACAC